rnacentral:rRNA from 1 species
AUACCGAGGGUGCAAGCGUUAAUCGGAUUUACUGGGCGUAAAGCGCGCGUAGGCGGCUAAUUAAGUCAAAUGUGAAAUCCCCGAGCUUAACUUGGGAAUUGCAUUCGAUACUGGUUAGCUAGAGUGUGGGAGAGGAUGGUAGAAUUCCAGGUGUAGCGGUGAAAUGCGUAGAGAUCUGGAGGAAUACCGAUGGCGAAGGCAGCCAUCUGGCCUAACACUGACGCUGAGGUGCGAAAGCAUGGGGAGCAAACAGGAUUAGAUACCCGUGUAGUCC